rnacentral:rRNA from 1 species
GAUGAACGCUGGCGGCGUGCUUAACACAUGCAAGUCGAACGAAGCACUUAAGAUUGAUUCUUCGGAUGACGUCUUUUGUGACUUAGUGGCGGACGGGUGAGUAACGCGUGGGUAACCUGCCUCACACAGGGGGAUAACAGUUAGAAAUAACUGCUAAUACCGCAUAACCCGAUAGGAUCGCAUGAUCCAGACGGAAAAGAUUUAUCGGUGUGAGAUGGACCCGCGUCUGAUUAGCUAGUUGGUGAGGUAACGGCCCACCAAGGCGACGAUCAGUAGCCGGCCUGAGAGGGUGAACGGCCACAUUGGGACUGAGACACGGCCCAAACUCCUACGGGAGGCAGCAGUGGGGAAUAUUGCACAAUGGGGGAAACCCUGAUGCAGCGACGCCGCGUGAGUGAAGAAGUAUUUCGGUAUGUAAAGCUCUAUCAGCAGGGAAGAAAAUGACGGUACCUGACUAAGAAGCCCCGGCUAACUACGUG